AGUCCACUCAGAACUUUCCCCUUGGACCCCCUAGAAAGUCCUGCUGUCCUCCACCUGGCCACCCCUCGGCUCUGGGAGACACAUGUCUUCUCGCCCCCACUGACUGGGAAUGUCAGACUCCUGCAGGCCAGCUGGAUGUUUUCCAGGAGCACCAACCAGGAAAUUCUCCAACAGGAUUCCUAUCGUCUAUCUCCACGUGAUAACACUAAAGAGCCUUCACAUCUAUACCGCCCCAGGGCCUCAAGUGCGGAGACUGAGAGCUCUGCAGGACACAGCAUGGAGCCGCCAUUCCUCUACCGUUCCGUGACUGAGUGGAAGAGCAUGUGUACUCUGAACAGGGGAUCCAAACCCUGAGAUGUUCUUUCUCAGCAGUCAGUGCGGCACAGGACUUUCUGUGGGAAUGCUAAGAGAGCAGGGGCCAGAGGGCUUUUAGCCACCACCUCCCAUGGCCAGUCUUCACAAAUUACCUUUGGCUAAUUUGAUGGUCUCUCCUCUUGGGAUCUAAGACUUCAAACAUGUGCAGAAGCAAUUGCAGAAUUGAGACAAGACAUUGUUCCACAGUAUAUUUUUUGUAGCACUGGCUCAGAAAAAGACUCAUUGAAAUCCUGUAUCAAAGCCGUGUGUGAACAUCUUGAGAAAGCAUGAGCUCACUGACUUGACAAGGGAGGAAGCAACCAAGAAUUCUGCCCUUUUUCAGUGCCUGAGUGUGAUAUUUUGCCUCAACAUUCCUCUUAGAUGAAGUUGUUGAUUGAAAAUCAUUUAAGUUUUUGCCCCG
rnacentral:lncRNA from 1 species